CUUGGUCAUUUAGAGGAAGUAAAAGUCGUAACAAGGUUUCCGUAGGUGAACCUGCGGAAGGAUCAUUCAUAAUAAAGUGUUUUAUGGCACUUUUUUAAAAAAUCCAUAUCCACCUUGUGUGCAAUGUUUUUUAGAUCUAGCCAAAAUGAUAUUUUGGUUAGGUUUUAUUAUAUUACAUCAACUCUUAUUUAACUUGAUUUGUCUGAAAAAUAUUAUGAAUUUUUUAACUUAAUUCAAAAUACAACUUUCAACAACGGAUCUCUUGGUUCUGGCAUCGAUGAAGAACGCAGCGAAAUGCGAUAAGUAAUGUGAAUUGCAGAAUUCAGUGAAUCAUCGAAUCUUUGAACGCACAUUGCGCCCGGCAGUAAUCUGCCGGGCAUGCCUGUCCGAGCGUCAUUUCACCCCUCGAGCCGCUUUUAGUGAUCGGGUGUUGGGGCACUACGGUAAAACGUAGGCCCCGAAAUGAAGUGGCGGUCCCGCCGCGGUGCCCCCAUGCGUAGUAACGUUUAGUCUCGCAUCGGGUCCCGGCGGAGGCCUGCCGUCAAGCCUUUUAUUCUCAGAAUAGUUUGACCUCGGAUCAGGUAGGGUUACCCGCUGAACUUAAGCAUAUCAAUAAGCGGAGGA
rnacentral:rRNA from 1 species